rnacentral:lncRNA from 1 species
CAAACUCGGAGAUCUGCCUGGCUCUGCCUCCAGAGUGCUGAGAUGAACUAGCAUAGCAUGCACUUGUACAUUUGCUUUUAACCACCAAGCGACUCCAUCCCAUGCUUUCCUCUUAUGGGGCACCGAUUCCAUUUUGAGGGCCUCCACCUUCUACUUCCAAGCAUUUUCUUCUUAAGCAUACAACACACACAGUUCUUUCCCUUCCUGGCCUCAGAGCCAUACUGGGAUCCUCACCAGUUCUUUGAAGUGGAAAGUUCUAGUUCUUGGGAAAGUUAUAUCAAAUGUUUUGCUGGGGCACACAGGUGAAAGGAUAUCUUGCUAAAGCAGACAUGUGAAAGGCUGUUUCCCUGAAACAGACAUGGGUGAGAGGAUGUUUGGAUAUAGCAGACACGUGAAAGGACCCUUGAUGAAGGAGUAUAAAUAUGACCCCACAGACAGUGGGAGAUAAGCACUGAGCUUUGGUUUGCUCUGCCUCACUAUUCUUCACUAAAGGCACACGUGUAUCAGUUUGCCUACAUAGAGUUGUUGAGCUCAACUUGUGGUAACUCAACUUACCGCUUCAGUAGCCUCUACCCAGACUGGUUGGGGAGCCUGGCAGUUUCUUCAGGACUGAACUACAGCUGUCUGGUGUCUGAUUGUUGAAAGGACUGGAAUGUAGCUGCUGGUUCAUGCCUGGUGUUUGUCUGCCUAGUGGACUGGUAAGCAGCUGCUAAGUUGUAUUUGGUGUUUGCUGCAGGACUGCAAUGCUCCCCAAAGAACUGUUGCUGAACAGAUCCACUUCCCACAUAUCCUAAUAGCUUUUGCACUACCUCUGCCGGGUGGUGGGCUAGAAGAGAGGUUGAACCCUUAUUAAAAGUAGGUUGCAAGAAAUGUAUGCCUACAGUUCUUCUGGGUGUUUUCCAAAAUUCUGAGGAUAACAUGUUGUCAAAAGUUCAAACACAGCCCUCUGCUCCUGCCAAUAAUCAACUAGUCUGGGGGCAGAAAAGUGAGCUUUACACUAGCCAAUUCUGACAGCCAAAUCUGGAGAGAAUGUCAACAGUUAAGGACAUCCUUCAGCAUAAGCUCCCACCUGUGGACCGGUAGAGGGUUGUAGUUUCUCUAGUGUAUCUGUCCUCCCAGUACACCAAAGGUAGCAGAAAACGGGAACAUGUGUGCCCUUGAAAAACAGGACAACAAGGAGACAAUUCCUACUGGCCUUGCAUGUGACCCAAGGGCCUUAUUCAGGUUUUAAUUUUAGGGAUGUGCUAGAAAGAAAGACGGCAUGGUGGCUAAGAACAUAUCCUGCUCUUCCAGAAGACCUGAGUUCCAUCCCCAGCACCCACGCUGGUGGUUCACAACCGCCUGUAACUCCAGCUCCAGAGGACUCGAUGCCUCUAUAGAUACUACAGUCCUGUCACGUAUCCACCCCACAGACAAGCACAAGUUAAAAAUGAUUUUUUUAAAGUAGGGACUGGAGACUUGACUUAACAGUUAAGAGCACUGACUGCUCUUCCAAAGGUCCAGAGUUCAAUUCCCAGCAACCACAUGGGCUCACAACCAUCUGUAAUCCAAAGCUCUCUCUGUUUUCUGAUAUAUAUAGAGUCACACUGUGUGUCUGGCCUGACAGGCCUGGAUCUCACCGUGUUGCCCACACUAGCACUUGCUUUCUUCAUUUCUCCCCUGUUCUUUGCCACUGGCUCUUCCACUCCACUGUGGGAAACAAUAGGUGUGUGUGAGUGUGUAUGUGUGAGUGUGUGUAUGUGUGUGGCAAGCUCAUUAUACUUUUCAUUGUGAGAUAAUAAACUGGCCUGGAACUUACUGUGUAGCCCAAGGCUGUCCUUGAACUUGUAAUUCUGCCUCGGUGUCUCAAGUGCUGGAAUUAUAGUCAUGAGCCACCCCCAUCCCCGCUUUACCUUCUCUCUUUUAGAUAGUGUCUCAUUUGUAAUUUUUUUUUUUUUUUUUUUUUUUUUUUUUUUUGGUUUUUCGAGACAGGGUUUCUCUGUAUAGCCCUGGCUGUCCUGGAGCUCACUUUGUAGACCAGGCCUGCCUCUGCCUCCGGAGUGCUGGGAUUAAAGGUGUGCGCCACCACGCCCGGCUUCAUUUGUAAUUUGAUGGCCUUAUUGGAAAGUGUGCAAACCAGGAAGCAGGAAGACUAGGAGGGUCGCUGAUCACUCUUUGCUCUCUCUGCUUCCUGGUGGCCUUGAGGUGAGCAACUCUGCUCUAUUCCACCCUCCCCAACAUGCUAUUCUGUCUCACCUCAGACCUAAGACAAUGCAGCCAACCGACUGUGAGCUGAAUCUCCCUAAGUUGUUUUUUCAGGCAUUUUGUCACUGUGUCUUGUUGUGGUUUGACUCCCCCCAGCCCCACAAGCAUAGAUGUAGCCAUUUUGUUCUAUGCCUGCCAGUCAUUGAUACAGAGAAAUGACUCAAUUUAGAGCAGGAUCAUGCUGACCACAUACCCUGUUUUGUUCUGAAUGUUUAAGGUUUGUUAAUCUUAAGAAAUUCCACAAAGCUUCGUGUAGGACUCAUUGAGUUAAAGGUCAAUGUGAACUGUUAUGUCUAAAAUAUCUUGAGUCAAAGCUGACCACCAGGCAGCACUUCAUAAGCUCAUUGCACUGAGUAUGAACUCAUUGCGUGUGUGUGUGGGUGUGUGUGGUGUGUGUGUAUGUGGUGUGUGUGUGGUGUGGUGUGUGUGUGGUGUGGUGUGUGUGUGUGUGUGUGAUCCUUUAUAAGCCAACAAAGAAAGAUGGCCAUUUUCAUAGUUUCAGACCCAAUUCUGAACUAUGUCCCUGGUCUG